UUUUUACUCCCUUCGUCCGAAAAAACUUGUCCCUUAAAUGGAUGAAUCUAGUACAAAGUAAGUGCUACAUACAUCCAUUUGAGACACAAGUUUGGGACAAUCUUUUUCGGACGGGGGAGUAUUAU
rfam:Triticum urartu cultivar G1812 contig363378, whole genome shotgun sequence.